GAUGAACGCUGACAGAAUGCUUAACACAUGCAAGUCUUUGGCGAAGCUAUGCUUGCACAGCCUAGCCAAGGCGGACGGGUGAGUAACGCGUAAGGAACUUGCCCUGCAGUCAGGGAUAACAGACGGAAACGACUGAUAAGACCUGGUAAAGUCAGGCGGACUCAUGUCCAGCCUGAUGAAAAGAGAUGCUGCAGGAGAGCCUUGCGUCCUAUUAGCUUGUUGGUGGGGUAACGGCCCACCAAGGCGAUGAUAGGUAGCCGGCCUGAGAGGGUGGACGGCCACAAGGGGACUGAGAUACGGCCCUUACUCCUACGGGAGGCAGCAGUGGGGAAUAUUGGACAAUGGGGGCAACCCUGAUCCAGCAAUUCUGUGUGCACGAUGAAGGUUUUCGGAUUGUAAAGUGCUUUCAGCAGGGAAGAAAAAAAUGACGGUACCUGCAGAAGAAGCGACGGCUAAAUACGUG
rnacentral:rRNA from 1 species